CUACGGGUUGCUCCAGUGAGGAAUAUUGCACAAUGGAGGAAACUCUGAUGCAGCAACGCCGCGUGGAGGAUGACGCAUUUCGGUGUGUAAACUCCUUUUAUAUGUCAAGAAAAUGACGGUAGCAUAUGAAUAAGCUCCGGCUAACUCCGUGCCAGCGAGCCGCGGUAAUACGGAGGGAGCAAGCGUUACUCGGAAUCACUGGGCGUAAAGGACGCGUAGGCUGGAUAGAAAGUCAGGUGUGAAAUCCUAUGGCUCAACCAUAGAACUGCACUUGAAACUUCUAACCUAGAGUAUGGGAGGGGAAGAUGGAAUUAGUGGUGUAGGGGUAAAAUCCGUAGAUAUCACUAGGAAUACCAAAAGCGAAGGCGAUCUUCUGGAACAAUACUGACGCUAAGGCGUGAAAGCGUGGGGAGCAAACAGGAUUAGAUACCCUAGUAGUC
rnacentral:rRNA from 1 species